rnacentral:rRNA from 1 species
UACGGGGGGGGCAAGCGUUGUUCGGAAUUACUGGGCGUAAAGGGCGUGUAGGUGGCCAACUAAGUCCGACGUGAAAUCCCCAGGCUUAACCUGGGAACUGCGUCGGAUACUGGAUGGCUUGAAUUCGGGAGAGGGAUGCAGAAUUCCAGGUGUAGCGGUGAAAUGCGUAGAUAUCUGGAGGAACACCGGUGGCGAAGGCGGCGACCUGGGUAGAUACUGACGCUGAGGUGCGAAAGCGUGGGGAGCAAACAGG